GAUAGCGGACUGCUGUGUCGGGCAUUCUCCGGCACUCUCCAAGGCAACGCUUAUCGGUGGUUCUCUGGUCUGCCAGCUGGCUCGGUCUCCAGCUUCGCGGACCUCUCUUCGAAGUUCAUCGCCCAACAUGUGGGGAUGAUCAGAAUAAAACACAGUGCCAACGCACUACUCGCAUUACGACAGAACAAACUGUCUCUGAGGGAUUACACGAUUAAGUUCACUUCGAUGAUGACAGAAGUGAACGACCUAAUCCCGAGUCUGGCCAUAGCGGGGUACAUGAAUGGGCUAAUGCCCUACUCCCCUUUGGCCCAGAACCUUACGCUCCAUAAAGUGGAGACCCUCCCUGACCUCUUCCAACGAGCUCAAUCGUUCAUUGAGAUAGAAGAGGAG
rnacentral:lncRNA from 1 species